UGGAUGGUAGAUGGUAGCGCGUCUGCCUUAUAGGCACUAGAUCGCGGGUUCGAUUCCCGCCCGUGCAG
rnacentral:tRNA from 1 species